AAUCUGAGUUGAUGGACGAUCCGUAAACGACGGUGGGAAGAAAAGCCUCCGCUGUCGUGGCGGUUCCCGAUAAUGGGAGGCGGCCGUAUCCUCCUGUUCCUCCCAUCUGGGUAUUGUAGAUAUUCGAGUUUGCUUCAAUGGGGUUCAGUAUUAUUUCCCUGCAAAAAUGGAAAGAGAAGUACGUAAAAUGCACACUCGGAUACAAAACAAAUAAAAAAAUUCUAUAAGACACAGAACGAGAUGAUACACACCUGUUCGCUAAGAGUUGCGGAGGAAAGAUACUGUAUUGAUGCCGGGCUUCAACAGCCAUGAUUAUGGAAACGAAAGGGUUUAUUUCUUUUGGAUUGGUUUUGCUUCUUGCUUUGUUUCUUCUGGUUCUUGGCUUUGGCUUUG
rnacentral:lncRNA from 1 species